AGACCUUGCGCUGAUUGAGCGGCCGAUAUCAGAUUAGCUUGUUGGUGAGGUAAAAGCUCACCAAGGCGACGAUCUGUAGCGGGUCUGAGAGGAUGAUCCGCCACACUGGAACUGAGACACGGUCCAGACUCCUACGGGAGGCAGCAGUGGGGAAUUUUGGACAAUGGGGGCAACCCUGAUCCAGCCAUGCCGCGUGAGUGAAGAAGGCCUUCGGGUUGUAAAGCUCUUUCAGCCGGGAAGAAAACGCAUGGGUUAAUACCCUGUGUGGAUGACGGUACCGGAAUAAGAAGCACCGGCUAACUACGUGCCAGCAGCCGCGGUAAUACGUAGGGUGCGAGCGUUAAUCGGAAUUACUGGGCGUAAAGCGUGCGCAGGCGGUUUUGUAAGACAGGCGUGAAAUCCCCGGGCUUAACCUGGGAACUGCGUUUGUGACUGCAAGGCUAGAGUACGGCAGAGGGGGGUGGAAUUCCACGUGUAGCAGUGAAAUGCGUAGAGACGUGGAGGAACACCAAUGGCGAAGGCAGCCCCCUGGGUCGAUACUGACGCUCAUGCACGAAAGCGUGGGUAGCAAACAGGAUUAGAUACCCUGGUAGUCCACGCCCUAAACGAUGUCAACUAGGUGUUGGGAGGGUAAAACCUUUUAGUACCGGAGCUAACGCGUGAAGUUGACCGCCUGGGGAGUACGGCCGCAAGGUUAAAACUCAAAGGAAUUGACGGGGACCCGCACAAGCGGUGGAUGAUGUGGAUUAAUUCGAUGCAACGCGAAAAACCUUACCUACCCUUGACAUGCCAAGAACUUUCCAGAGAUGGAUUGGUGCCCGAAAGGGAACUUGGACACAGGUGCUGCAUGGCUGUCGUCAGCUCGUGUCGUGAGAUGUUGGGUUAAGUCCCGCAACGAGCGCAACCCUUGUCGUUAAUUGCCAUCAUUUAGUUGGGCACUUUAACGAGACUGCCGGUGACAAACCGGAGGAAGGUGGGGAUGACGUCAAGUCCUCAUGGCCCUUAUGGGUAGGGCUUCACACGUCAUACAAUGGUCGGUACAAAGGGUCGCCAAGCCGCGAGGUGGAGCCAAUCCCAGAAAGCCGAUCGUAGUCCGGAUCGCAGUCUGCAACUCGACUGCGUGAAGUCGGAAUCGCUAGUAAUCGUGGAUCAGAAUGUCACGGUGAAUACGUUCCCGGGUCUUGUACACACCGCCCGUCACACCAUGGGAGCGGGUUCCGCCAGAAGUAGGUAGCCUAACCGCAAGGAGGGCGCUUACCACGGCGGGGUUCGUGACUGGGGUGAAGUCGAAACAAGGUA
rnacentral:rRNA from 1 species